rnacentral:pre_miRNA from 1 species
UCUCAGGCUCUGACCCUCUACAGGGAAGCGCUUUCUUUGGUCAGAAAAAGAAAGUGCAUCCUUUUAGAGUGUUACUGUUUGAGA